CUCACCUUUCAGAAUAUAAAGAAAAAGCAAUCACAUUCCAACACUUCUGAAAAAGGAGAUGAUUUUUUCUUGAAACCACAUUAAGAGUAUGUCCUUCAAAAACAUAGCAAUAUAACAAGAAAAUGGCCAUCUUCCAAGCAUAAGUUAAGGAUAAAGUAACUUGAGGCUGGUUCGUGAUUAAGAUGACCAAGAUCUGAAAAAACAACAGGGAGUCAAAAGGAAAAGACUUUGUUUGGCAUUUCUUAUCUAAUUCAUUUUGUUUUACUUGAAGACUCAGACACAAUCAAGACUUUGAUGAAUCGAAUGAUGCCUGUCAACAGUGGAGAGGGCCAUCUGCUUUACUCAGCACCAAUUCAAAUGCUAAUCUCUUCCAGAAACACCUACACAGACACACUCAAAAAAUAAUGUUUAACCAGAUAUCUAAGUGUAACUUGGCUCAAUCAAGUCACCACAUAAAAUUUACCAUUACAAUGGAUUUCUCAAUAAUUAUGUCUAAAUCAUUGGAAAAACUUGAAAUCAGCUCAUUUAUUAGAUGGCAGCUUCUUGAUGACACAAGGAAUGAUUCUCACUGAUAUGAUUUGAGGAUUGUGGGGCAAAGACCUUCUCAUGCUUACUUUUUCCCCUGGUGCCUCCUACAGCGAUAGUGAACAAAAUGAAGAUUAGUUACUUUCUGGUUAAUUGUAAAUUACGUUGUGGCAAUUAUAUACUAGAAAUCUUUCUUUUUUUUUUUUUAAGAGAUGGGGGUUUCACUACAUUGCCCAGGUUAAUCUUGAACUCCCGUCCUCAAGCAAUUUUCCAGCUUCAGCCUCUGAGACUGCUAGGAUUAUAGACGUGAGCCACCAUGACUGGUCCAGAACUCGGUUACAAUACAAACUUUAUCAUGCUGAUUGAGUCCAUUUAAGUUAAUACACUUACUGGUUUAGGUUUAAAGAAUUUGGAGGAAGUACAAAUAAAUGAAAAGGAAAGCUAAAAGUAUAUCUUAAAGGAGGACAAGUACCUUGGUUUUUCUAGACUGCUGUAAAAAAUACCAUAGACUGGUUGGCUUAUAAACAAAACAAAUUUAUUUCUCACAGUUCUGGAGGCUAGGAAGCCUAAGAUGAAACCUCCAGCAGAGUCAGUGUCUGAUGAAGACCAGAUCUCUGGUUUGUAGGUGGGACCUUCUGACGGUGUUUUCACAUGGUGGAAGGGGUAAGGCAGCUCUCUGUGACCUCUCUGGUAAGGGCAUUAACCUCAUUCAUGAGGUCUCUGCCAUCAUGAUCUAAUCACUUCUCAAAAGACCUGCCUCCUACAGUGGUAAUUAUGUUUUAACAUGUAAAUUCUGGGGGAACAAAAAUAUUCAGGUUAUAGCAACAGGAAAUUAAAAAAUUUGCAGUUAGGAAAUGGACUCUGUUCAUUUAGCUUCUUUAAUAAAGUAUAGUAAUUUGCAAGUCCAAGUAUAAAAUGCAUUAAAAUUGGCCUGGUAGCACUAUAGUGCUUUCUUUUGUAGUUGUAGAGAAUAUUUUUGAAAGUAUUAACAAAUAGGUCGGGAAAAUAUUAAAUAUAUAGUAAUAAUAUCUAUAUUUUUUAAAAAUUACAUAUUAGAUUUUUAGUAAAGGAAUACAUAUACUUUCUGAAUAUUGGCAAAUACAGGCAAGGAAUGCUUUAACUUUCAUUUAAACACUGAAAACAAGGAAAACAAAGGGGAAAUAAUAGAAAUUAAUAAUCUUGAAGAUUAUCAAUGAAAAAUAUAUCAUUACUUAAAUUUAUGACAGAUUUACUGUUUUAUUAGCUAAGUGUGCUUAGACCGUAAAUAAACAUAUUAAAAUUAAAAGUUACUUAUUACAUUUUAAAAUUCCAGUUUUAAAUGUAUUGAUCUAUCAAAAUUUAUCCUGUUAUUUGAAAAUCUACUAGCAUGUUUUGGUUAUGGGACUUGCACUUUUGAUCAGUGCUACAAGAUUUGGAGAUUUAAUAUUUUAAAAUGAUUAAAUCAUAUCUAAGCAUAUUUAAGCAUGUUUAAUUAUAUUUAAAAAUACUUUAAUGCCAUUUCAAAUGUUUCUUUAAAAUAUAUGCCAAGUAGAAUUUUUUAAUGCAAAGAUACCCUUGAGGUUUUAAAACUUUAUUAGCAAUUUUACUCAACAUGCUUUUAUUAUCAACUUGGUUCUACUAGAAAGUCUGAUAUUUCUAUAUUUUCCUAUAAUUCAUUUGCAACUUUUUAAAAAUAUCUGAAAGUAAACUGAAUAGUAGCUUAAUAUAACCUUAUUACUUAGUUUUAUAGGCUCUACUGUAUUCUCCAAAAUUUAUAUGCUGAAAUCCUAAUCCUUAGUACCUCAGAAUGUAACACUUUUUGGAGACAGACUCUUUAAAGAGGUAAGUAAAUUAAGCAAGGCCAUUAAGGUGAGCCCUAAUUUAAUGACUUGUAUUCUUAUGAAAAAAGAAAUUUGGACGCAAACAUACACAGAAGGAAGAUGAUGUGAAGACCCAGAGAGAAGACAGCCAUCUACAAGCCAAGGAGACAGACCUGGAGCAGGUUCGUCCCUUACAUCCUUGUUUGUCCAUGCCUAGGCUUCCAGUGACCAGAAAUGUAAGAAAAUAAAUAUCUGUUGUUGAAGCCACCCCAUCUGUAGUACAUUGUUACAUCAGCCCUAGCAAAUGAAUGCACCUGGAAUUUAUAGCAACCAUAAUAAUCAAGGGCAGUGGCACCUAGCAACUUGCAUGCAUACAUUUUAGUAGUUUAUGAAUAAAUUAAUCUCUAUCUUAUGAUUGUUCAUCACAGAUGUCUUAUAAUGCACAACUUACUUAUCCUUUCACAAGUAGCAGAAACAGAAGAAUUGACUAUAGAUUUUGAGUGCAUUGCAUAUGAAUAUGUGGUAUUGCUAAAAAUAUUACAGAACAUAAACAAGGAGUUCCACAUCCAGCAUGGGAGUGUUAGAUCCUAUGAUGACACCUGCCCCAGUGAAAUCAGUAAAUAUUACUUAAAAUAGUGACCACUUAAACUUUCUGAAAAUGGCCCUAAGGGCAUACAGCAAGUGAAAAAAACAUUUAUUCAAGAAAAUAUGCAAACAGUUGUUAAGAAAUGCAAAACUCUGUGUUAUUUCAACCAAAAACCCACAGCAUCCCUUCAACUUCCCAGGUCAUUGAGAGAGAAACUCCAUAUCAUCUGCUACAGCCAAAGCAACAGGGUACACUCUCCACCCAAAUCCCAGUCAGAGGAUAAUCUUCCUGAGAGGGACAGUUAUAUAGGAGUUAAUAAGAAAUUACUGGCCAGGUGCAGUGGCUUAUGCCUGUAGUCCCAGCACUUUGGGAGGCUGAGGCAGGCAGAUCAUUAGGUCAAGAGAUCAAGACCAUUCUGGCCAACAUGGUGAAACCCCAUCUCUGCUGAAAAUAC
rnacentral:lncRNA from 10 species